GACAACGCCACAACGCUACCGGGAAAGAGGGAGAGAAAAAAAAAAUCCGAUCCAGACUCACCACCGAACAGCAGCUGCGAGGAAAACCAAGUCCAAAUCCGCUCGUCUCCUCUUGAGGUUGAAGCCACUCCGCCGUCUCCGCAUCCCUCCCCACAACCGAGCAGGAACUCCCCCGAGCGCGAGCGGCUCCAGAAGCGUCAGGGACGGGCGAGCUCGCGGCUCCUCCCGAAUAUAGAAGCCGCGCGGCGCAGGACGUGGAGACGGACGCACGCGGAGCGCGCCCCCCGGGAGCGGACGCGCGUGGUGUGGCGUUGGAAGGAUCGAUGGGUUACCUGCCGUCCCUGGGCAGCAAGGCGGCGCACUUCGUGUCCGACCUCACCACCGUCAUCCUCAACCCCAUCUCCGAGCGCGAGACCUCCCACCUCCCCGAGGUAGAAGAAGUGGUGGAAAAUUCAGAGAAUGAUAAAGAUUCUGAGCACAGUUCUGACGUUCUUGAUGGCCCUGACACAUCUUCCUUUAGAGCAUUCUUGAUCUCAUUUUUGUCGUCAUCUAGCUCUAAUAACGAUUCAAUGGAGAUAAUUCCUGAGCAGAAUGGGAAUAUUGGAUACCCAACUUUAACACCAGUGGGGAAGGGAAACAAGGGAAGGACAGGGCUGCUGAGUAGAGGAAAGCAUUCCAUUGGAAAAAUCAUUAACAAGGCGGUUAGGAUUGGUGGUUUCAAACAAACUGCUGAGCCUAAAAUGGGCAGGGAGACAGUAAAUCAUACUGAAUCAGUAGCACCUGUAUUGGAGCUUGAGGAAUCAACGGAAGUUGCUUCCGUCAGUAAUUUGCCAACUAUGUCAGAGCCAUCUGUUCUUUUGUCAGAAAUGAUGCGAUCAAUUCUUUACACCUCUCUCCCUGUUCUUGCCCAGGGAAGGAACUGGGUCUUGCUAUACAGCACAUGGAGGCAUGGCAUAUCUUUAUCUACUUUAUAUAGGAGGAGCAUGCUUUGCCCUGGUUACUCACUUUUGGCAGUUGGGGAUCAAAAUGGGGCAGUUUUUGGUGGUUUAGUUGAGGCUCCAUUGCAACCAACCAGUGCAAAGAAGUAUCAGGGGACCAAUAAUUGCUUUGUUUUCACUAAUUUGCACAACCACCUUGCUAUAUAUCGGCCAACCGGUGCUAAUAACUAUUUCACGGUGUGCUCCACUGACUAUUUGGCACUGGGAGGAGGAGGUCAUUUUGCACUUUAUCUAGAUGCAGACCUUUUGAGUGGUUCAAGUUCCAAUUCGGAGACAUUUAACAACCAGUGUCUAUCGCAUUCCCCAGACUUUGCAGUGAAAGAAGUUGAGCAACUUGCAACUGUAAUUGGUAUCUUAACUGCUUAACUCAAGAAAUUGGAGUAUCUGGGUUUGGGGGUCUUGCAACUGAAAUAAUAUCAGUUUAGUUGGGAUUUCUUAGCAUUGUAAGAUCCAUCAACAAAUUGAAACAGAGCUGUGGGGCUUCGUCUAUCCUUCGAAGUACGAGGAGAUGCUCACACUAUGCCAGACCGACAAACCAGGAAUUUGUCGAUGGUGAUCGUUCGUUAGUCAGUUUGAGCUGCCAAACAUACACAUGUUACAUCUGUACAGUUUUAGUAGGCUUUGCAAGAUAUUUUGUGCGCAGGACCCAAGUAGGAGUACUGGGGACUUGCUUUUCUCAAGCGAGUUUGCUCAGAUUUGUAAAUACUGUAAUUUUCUUGCUACCAGUUAGCGAAACAUGGACGUACUGGUUGUUGCUUCA